rnacentral:rRNA from 1 species
UCAUUGGGUUUAAAGGGUCCGUAGGCGGUUUAAUAAGUCAGUGGUGAAAUCUGGUCGCUUAACGAUCAAACUGCCAUUGAUACUGUUAGACUUGAAUUAUUGGGAAGUAACUAGAAUAUGUAGUGUAGCGGUGAAAUGCUUAGAUAUUACAUGGAAUACCAAUUGCGAAGGCAGGUUACUAUCAAUAUAUUGACGCUGAUGGACGAAAGCGUGGGGAGCGAACAGGAUUAGAUACCCUGGUAGUCCACGCCGUAAACGAUGGAUACUAGCUGUUCGGAGCAAUCUGAGUGGCUAAGCGAAAGUGAUAAGUAUCCCACCUGGGGAGUACGUUCGCAAGAAUAAACUCAAGGCUGACGGGGGCCCGCACAAGCGGGGAGCAUGUGGUUUAAUUCGAUGCUACGCGAGGAACCUUA